rnacentral:rRNA from 1 species
GGGAAACUGGGUCUAAUACCGGAUAGGAGCGUCCACCGCAUGGUGGGUGUUGGAAAGAUUUAUCGGUUUUGGAUGGACUCGCGGCCUAUCAGCUUGUUGGUGAGGUAAUGGCUCACCAAGGCGACGACGGGUAGCCGGCCUGAGAGGGUGACCGGCCACACUGGGACUGAGACACGGCCCAGACUCCUACGGGAGGCAGCAGUGGGGAAUAUUGCACAAUGGGCGCAAGCCUGAUGCAGCGACGCCGCGUGAGGGAUGACGGCCUUCGGGUUGUAAACCUCUUUCAGUAGGGAAGAAGCGAAAGUGACGGUACCUGCAGAAGAAGCACCGGCUAACUACGUGCCAGCAGCCGCGGUAAUACGUAGGGUGCGAGCGUUAUCCGGAAUUAUUGGGCGUAAAGAGCUCGUAGGCGGUUUGUCGCGUCUGUCGUGAAAGUCCGGGGCUUAACCCCGGAUCUGCGGUGGGUACGGGCAGACUAGAGUGCAGUAGGGGAGACUGGAAUUCCUGGUGUAGCGGUGGAAUGCGCAGAUAUCAGGAGGAACACCGAUGGCGAAAGCAGGUCUCUGGGCUGUAACUGACGCUGAGGAGCGAAAGCAUGGGGAGCGAACAGG